AACGAACGCUGGCGGCAGGCUUAACACAUGCAAGUCGAACGCAUCCUUCGGGGUGAGUGGCAGACGGGUGAGUAACGCGUGGGAACGUGCCAUUCAGUUCGGGAUAACCCAGGGAAACUUGGGCUAAUACCGGAUACGUGCGAGAGCAGAAAGAUUUAUCGCUGAAGGAUCGGCCCGCGUCUGAUUAGCUAGUGGGUGGGGUAAUGGCCCACCAAGGCGACGAUCAGUAGGUGGUCUGAGAGGAUGAUCAGCCACAUUGGGACUGGGACAGCGCCCUACGUCUUACGGAUGGCGGAAUUGGGGAAUAUUGGACGAUGGGCUCAAGCCUGGUCCAGCCAUGCCGCGUGAGUGAGGAAGGCGUGAGGUUUGUAAAGCUCUUUCGUCCGGGACGAGAAGGACGGGACCGGAAGAAGAAGCCCCGGCUAACUGCGUGCCGGCGGCCGCCGUAA
rnacentral:rRNA from 1 species